AUGUCUAAGUAUAAGCAAUUAUGCGAAACUGCGGACGGCUCAUUAUAUCAGUUCUAAUCCACUCUAUGAUUUAUCAUAUACGGAUAACCGUGGGAAUUCUAGGGAUAAUACGUGCAACAAUACCAAAGGCUUUAGCUUGAGGUAGUAUGUAUUAGACUGAGACCAACGUGGGUUAAACCACUAAGUCAUAGAUGAACCAUAGUACACUUACGAAUCGACUCACUUCGGUGAUCGAUGUAAAGAAAGAGGUUCUGCCCUAUCAACUGUCAACCGUAGUAUAGAGGACUAUGGUGGUUGUUACGGGUAACGGGGAAUUAGGGUUCGAUUCCGGAGAGGGAGCCUGAGAAACGGCUACCACUUCUAAGGAAGGCAGCAGGCGCGUAAAUUACCCAAUCCUGAAUUGGGGAGGUAGUGACAAGAAAUACCGGUGUAGUACCAAUAGGUACUACUACUGGAAUGAGUACAAUUUAAACACCAUAACGAGGAACAAUUGGAGGGCAAGUCUGGUGCCAGCAGCCGCGGUAAUUCCAGCUCCAAAAGUGUAUACACAAGUUGUUGCGGUUAAAAAGCUCGUAGUUGGACCGUGGGUUUGAUAGCAGUGUGGUACCAUGAGCAACGCUCUUGGAUUAACGCCAGCUGUAUCUUACCAUAUAUAUAGAUAACAUUAGAGGGCUUCGGCACUCGUCAUCUAAAAUUUACUUUGAAAAAAUUAGGGUGUUCAAAGCAGGCAAUUUGCCAGAAUACAUUAGCAUGGGAUAAUAGAACAUGACCUUCGGGUCUUGUUUGUUGGUUUCGUACCAGAAGGUAAUGAUUAACAGGGAUAGCUGGGGUUGAUUGUAUUCAGGGGCGAGAGGUGAAAUUCUAUGACCCUCUGAAGACAAACUAAUGCGAAGGCAUUCAACAAGGAUGUUUUCAUUAAUCAAGAACGAAAGUUGUGGGAGCGAAGAUGAUCAGAUACCGUUGUAGUCACAACCGUAAAUUAUGUCGACUCAGGGAUCAGUGGAAGUUGCAUGGAUGACUCCAUUGGCACUGUAUGAGAAAUCAAAGUAUCCAGACUCCGGGGGAGUAUGGUCGCAAGGCUGAAACUUAAAGGAAUUGACGGGAAGCGCACCACCAGGAGUGGAACCUGCGGCUUAAUUCGACUCAACACGGGAAAACUCACCCAGUCCAGACUUAACUAGGAUUGACAGAUUGAUAGCUCUUUCUUGAUUUUAAGGUAGCCGGUGCAUGGCCGAUUUUAGUUGGUGGAGUGAUUUGUCUGGUUAAUUCCGAUAACGAACGAGACCUCUAUUUAUUAAAUAGUGGCAGUAUUAGUGUUCCUUUCGAGGUUCACAUCAAUGAUAGUGAAACACUUCUUAGAGAAACAGCUUACACAAGUAAGAGGAAGUUAGAGGCAAAAUCAGGUCUGUGAUGCCGCUAGAUGUCUGGGGCUGCACGCGCGUUACAAUGACAUAUUCAGCAAGUACAUUGAUUUCCUUUCCUGCAAAGGUUGGGUAAUCUUUAAACGUAUGUCGUUACAGGGAUUGUAUAUUGAAAUUAUUGAACAUGAACGAGGAAUUCCUAGUAGGUAUGGUUCAUCAAACCAUGCCGAUUAAGUCCCUGCGCUUUGUACACACCGCCCGUCGCUCCUACCGAUCGAAUUACUCGAUGAAAAUUCGGGAUCUCGUUGGCUCAUCUGCACUGAAAGGUGUGGGUACCUAUGGGAGAACCUAUUUGAAUCUCGUACUUUAGAGGAAGGAGAA
rnacentral:rRNA from 1 species